UACGUAGGGUGCGAGCGUUAAUCGGAAUUACUGGGCGUAAAGCGUGCGCAGGCGGUUCGUCGUGUCUGAUGUGAAAGCCCCGGGCUCAACCUGGGAAUGGCAUUGGAAACUGGCGGACUAGAGUGUGGCAGAGGGGGGUGGAAUUCCGCGUGUAGCAGUGAAAUGCGUAGAGAUGUGGAGGAAUACCGAUGGCGAAGGCAGCCCCCUGGGCCAAUACUGACGCUCAUGCACGAAAGCGUGGGGAGCAAACAGG
rnacentral:rRNA from 1 species